rnacentral:lncRNA from 1 species
AACUUUAAUUGCUGAAAUCUCAGAAGAAUACAGCUAGAAGCAGAAACUCAAAAGCAAUACUCAAAUCGACUAAUAAAACGUCGAUAACGGAAAACUCGAGUCACAUACCUUCUUAAGCUUCCAACCAGCACCUCACUGGUUCAGAGCUGCGAAAAACUCUCCAAAAUACUCCCUCACACGUCCACGUAGGCCCUGCGACACAUGCGAACAGCGAAGAACCAACGUUGCGACGAAAACGAGCGAAAUCGGCGAAUUCUUUGUAGAGAGAGAAAAACCCUAGAGAGAAAGAGAGAGGAAGGUGGAAGAACAACCUCCUGAGUUCCAGCAACCAUUACUGAGCUCCCAGAGUCGUGCUGGGAUCAAAUAGGUGAGAGCAAGAUGUGAAAUUACCAAACUACCCAAGCUGCCACGAAUCUGCCAGCUUGUACCGGUACAAGGUGAUGGCUGUACCGGUACAACAAGCAGAAAAUUGCUGAUUUUCGCAGAUCAAUGCAAUUUCUCACUUUUAACCCUCCAAUCACUCUCUAACUUGGUCAAAAACUUGUCCAAGGCUAAUAGAACAUGUAGAAGAGUUCCACACAUCAAUCCACACACUCGAACUCUGCAAUUUGCGAAAGUUCAGUGUAUUACAAAAUUACAUAAUUUAUUUGGCACGUGCAGGCACCAAAAACAAUAUAAUCUAAUACUAGGUCCUUAUUAAAUUAUAACAAUUCACAUCGUCACAUGAUACAUACACAUCACAAGGUCGCUAUCCAUGAUCAUCACCUCAUAUACAUCACAUGCAUAUAAUAUUAAAUUCUCUAAUUUGAAUUCUAAUUAAUUGGGUUUCGGAUUAAUUUAAAAACAAAUCUUUAUUU